AAACUAUCCAGACGUUGGCAACAUUAUUUGAUAGCUGGCCUGGGAUGGACAAUGACAUCUCAUCGUGCAACAAGGAAUGUGUCUGGCUAUUUUGUUUUUCAUUUUAUGCUCUGGUGGAACGGUAAAGAAUUGGUCAAGCCGAUUUGCACGGAUGGGUAUGAAUUGAGGAAACAGUUUUUAUUACACUUGCUAAAACAUUGUGGGAAUGAAGCUAAAGGAAACUUUCC